rnacentral:rRNA from 1 species
UCUAUAAGCCGCUUAAAAAUUACCCUCUAACCGAAGAGUGUUAGAUAGCGUCGAAGGACAAGAAGACCCUAUAGAGCUUAAUUUAAAUAAAUAUAAAAAAAUUUACUAAAAUUCGGUUGGGGCGACCAGGGAAUUACCCAUCAUCCCUAAGCAAAAGAUAAAUAUAUCAAAAUACUGACCCUUCUACAAGAUCAUUAAAACAAGCUACCUUAGGGAUAACAGGCUAAUCUCACUAGAGAGUCCUUAUCAAUAGUGGGGAUUGGCACCUCGAUGUUGGCUUAGGGAAUCUCUAUAACGCAAAAGUUAUAUAAAGAUGGUUUGUUCAACCAAUAACACCCUACAUGAGCUGAGUUCAGACCGGCGUAAGCCAGGUUAGUUUCUAUCCUCGAUCACUCUAUCUAUUUAUAGUACGAAAGGACCUAAUUAGAGUAAUAUUUACAUACAGGGAAUAAAUAUAAACCAUUCUAAAUAAAAUAAAUCAUAAACUAUGAGUAAGUUGGCAGAAUAGUGCCACC